AUCAGGCUGCCCCAGGACAUGUGCUCGCUCUGAAAGCCUGUCAGAGCGAGCACAUGUGCUGGGGCAGCCUGAUU